GGCAAACAGAAAAUGAUAAAUUGAUUUAGAUACCAAACCGUGGGCUCAAGAGGAAUGUCAACAAAUCAAUGGAUUUUAACCUUUUCCACUACACUCAUCAGUACGCAAACGAAAGAAAGUUCUAUAAAGCUAAACACCCCGCAGCCGCUGGCGCCACACAUGAAAGAAUCCCCGUCCACAAGUUGCAGUGAAAAUCGCUUGUUUUCGUGAAUUCUCCUCUCUGCUCUCUCCCUUUUCUUCCUUCGUUUCUAUCCAUUCUGCUUUUGCCGCCUUCGCCUUCGCCUUCUCCUUUUUAACGUAACAAGAGGAAGAAGAACAAAGUGGUCUCGAUUCUAAAAUGGUGGCGGUCGCAGAUUCUAAUGCUAAUUCGAACGUGGGGCAGCUGAAUUCUGGUGGAAAUGAAACUACUACUUUAAAUGGAACGAUUUCAAGAACCAGUAGUGGCUUCUUCUCUCCAACAAUGACGGAGGAGCCCUGCAUUUCUUGUACCACUUUCAAUAUCCUGGCUCCAAUCUACAAGCGGCUCGAUCACCAGAACCAAAACAUCCGUGAAAGCGAUUUCAGGGCAUUCUGGUUCACCAGGAACCAAAGGAUUUUGGAUUGGUUACUCAUCGAAAGGUCUUCCAUUAUAUGUCUCCAGGAAUUCUGGGUUGGCAAUCAAGAACUAGUGCAUAUGUACCAGGAGAGGCUUGGCGAUGCGGGCUAUAUAACCUUCCAGCUUGCCCGGACCAACAACCGAGGAGAUGGCCUGCUAACUGCUGUCCAUAAGGACUACUUUAGGGUUCUAAAUUAUCAAGAGUUGCUCUUCAAUGACUUUGGAGACCGUGUUGCUCAGCUGCUGCAUGUUCAGUCGGCGGUGCCCCUCAUGCAAAACCAAAAUGGACUGGCUCAACAAGAAUUUCUUAUUGUGAAUACUCACCUGUUGUUUCCUCAUGAUUCUAGUCUCUCUAUUGUGAGAUUGAAUCAGGUUUACAAAAUACUACGGUGUGUGGAAACAUAUCAGAGAGAAAACAAACUAAGCCAUAUGCCCAUCAUUCUCUGUGGUGAUUGGAAUGGAAGCAAGCAUGGGCAUGUAUACAAAUUCCUUAGGUCGCAGGGAUUUGAUUCAUCAUAUGAUAUUGCUCAUCAAUAUACCGACAGUGAUGCAGAUGCUCACAAGUGGGUGAGCCAUAGAAAUCACAGGGGUAACAUUUGUGGUGUCGAUUUCAUAUGGCUUCGAAAUCCUAUUAAAUCAAGGAAGCUGCUGAAGGCAAGUUGGGCUGAAGCAGUAUUUGGAAUAAUAAAGGUUCAACUCCUGAAAGCUUCACUGAAUGAAAGUGAUGCAUUUGCAUAUUUUAAGGCUGACGAGCCUGGUGAUUAUAUAACAUAUUCGGCUUUCUGUGAAGGACUGCGCCAGGUACUUUCAUCUUAUGUGCUUUAUUAUAUGAGAUAUAAGCCCCGAGUGGCACUGCAUAGAGAAACUGCUCUUGGCCCUCUUUAGUUAUUUAUUUUCUUGGGAAAUGCUGAAUCUGUGUUCUGUAGAAGCAAGCUGCCAGAAUGCAGCACAAUUGCAGCACCAAAUGGAGCUAUUAACUUAAGGGGAAAGAUAGACUUACCAUGUUGUAAUGAUACAGGUAAAUUUGAUUGGUCUCCCUUUUGGACUGAGUUUCCAGGAGACAAAAGAUCUAUGGAUCCUAGCAGACAUUGAUGGAAAUGGCAUUGUUGAUUAUGAAGAAUUUAAGGUUUGUAAAUCCCUUAUUCAUGGUUACUGUCUUAAAUAUUUGUUGUUAAUUUUCUCCUUUAUUUUAUUUUCUGAAAUUUUGGCACAAUUAUCUGGUAUAAUAAAAUGUUAAGAAAGUUUUAGCAACAGUAACAAGUCUUUUGACUCCGUAUAUCUGUGUGUUUGUGCAUGUCCUGUUGUCAUGAUGUGCUGCAUUAGAACUUGAAGUUACAACUAAUUGGAUAUGUUACCAAUUUUAGCUUGGAAUAUUUCCGUGUAUAAAUUUUAAAAUAUUGUGCUUUUUGAAUAGAUUUUAGGACACUUCCGACUCCUCUUCGACUUUAUUUCUGCCUUGCGUUCUUUUCUGCUAUUUGUCUGCAUGUAUACUUCGUUUAAUAACAAUAUAUUUAACUAUUGCAGCUGACGAUUUGGAGGUCAGCAUGUCUGGAGCAAGAGGAAGAUUGUGCUGCAAGUACAAAGGAGACUGAGCCAGGUGUAGAAGAAGCUAUCGGCUUCACUGUAAAAGAUGCUGCUCUUUUCCCCCGUGAAGCAGAGAAAGGGAUGUGGCCUGAAAAUUAUUCUCUUUCUGAUCAUGCUCGACUCACUGUUGUGUUUUCACCAGAGAGAAUGCAUAGCUCUCGGAAAAUCUUAUAAUCAACAAGGGUACGCUUGUGGAUCAAACUAGCACAAAAUGAUGUAUAGGGUAGAGUCCAGAGCGUGUAGAUGACAAAUAACUGUGCAUAGUUCAUAGGCAUCCCUUGUUGGGUUGCCUGUGUCUUCGUUGAUUAAAUUUUCCAUGUAAAAGUUUUGUAACUAGUUGUGAUCUAGCCUCUGCCAAAAUUUUCAGGUGGAGAAUUUUGUAUAUCCUAGAUUUCUAUUGUAAUGUGAAAUGCUUAGCAAAAACCUCUUUUGCAACUGCAAAGGGUAUAAAUAUGUGAUUAACCUAAGAUCCCUCUGUUAAAUUCUUGGGUGCACUGAAAAAACAGUGAUAACUAGGAUUUUGGAUCAAUUUGAUGGUUUUAAUUUCA
rnacentral:misc_RNA from 1 species